GCCUAGAUAGCUCAGUUGGGAGAGCGUUAGACUGAAGAUCUAAAGGUCCCCCGGUUCGAUCCCGGGUCUGGGCA